rnacentral:lncRNA from 1 species
AAAGUUAUGAAUGCAUCUAUCAGGCUCAAGCAUUUCCAACAUCUAAUUUAUGGCUUACAUCUCAAAGCAAAAAAUGCAAAUUAUCAGGCUUAAAGAUCAUAAUAUACACAACAAAUGUAGUGGCCCUGCAAGGUCUGCAUCAUGUCAUGCAUGCAUAGAUACAUUACAUUACUACAAGUAUAUUUACAGCUUUAUCGGUCUAUAACACGGUUGCAUAAUCAAAAAUUAUCAAACAUGUCGGAGAGUGCAUGUCCGAAUCGAAGUACAAAGGCAAAAAUAUACAAGUUUCUUCUCACUGCAGUAUAGUAUAAACAAACUUCUAUUGCCUGCAAAGGAUGGAAGAUGCUAACUCAAGCCUUACAACAGCGCAUACAUCACAAGGUGCAUGCGAGCCAAUGGCGCCUCAAGAGACAUGAAACUUUACACAGUUAGAAUCUUCACAUUUACCCCAAAAGUACAAACUUCAAACAACAGAAAAAGGUAGACGAACUAGCUUUUUAUAGUGUCAAACAUGUUGCAAUGCAACAAAAUAUUCAGAUUGAUCUUCUCCGGUAAAACAAAAGGUUAACAUUUAGAGUUUAAAACAAACGAAAAAUGAAAAAACAAUUGGAAACAGACUAUUAAACAAAUGAAAAAAUGAAAAAUAAUUUUUGAUAUAUAUAUGCUAAAUAAAAACCCAAAAUGGCAAUCGGUCUUGAAUCUCAAUCUCUUAACAAUUCAAGAAACAAAUUCCAAUUCCAAAAAAUCCCAGUCUCUUAACAAAAACAAAAAAAAGGCUAAUUCAAGAACUAAGCUUGAAAAAUAACCAAAACCACCAAUUAAAAUCUUGGUCAGCUUACCCUGAAAAAUCACAUAGAAAGAGAAAAAGAAAAACUCACAUGUGGCCAUGGAGAAAGCAACGAAUUUACAGAGUAGCCAAAAUACAAUAACUUUGAAGAACAAAAAUAAUCAGGGAAAUAGACAAAGAGAAAAGCAACAAGUUAAACCCCAUGAAGGAAAUUUCAACUGCUCAUUUACAAAGUAAUCAACAUAAAAGAUAGUGAUAUACCUUGAUAGGAUUGGAAAGCUAGAUUUUUGGGUUUCUUCUAAAUGCAGACUUGGUAAGGACGACGAGAUGACGAGACUCAGAUUCGAAGGUGAGGCCAACGAAUAGAGAUGAUGAGGAGAGGCGGAGGCUGAUGGACAGAGAGGAAGGAGAACGACUGCUGUGAUGAGAGGGGAGGAAAAUGGAAAAUGUCUUACAGAAAUAAAAUCAGUAAGACCUUUUCCGUAAAAAGCCAUUUCAUUUAUCCG